rnacentral:lncRNA from 1 species
AAAAAAAAAAACAAAAAAAGAAGCAAAAAGAUAUAAUUCCUUCUGAAAAAAGUAAGGCAACCAGAAGUAAAUCCUUCUUGAACUCUGUUUAAUAUGGUUGUGUGCCAGGGCUGUGGGGGUGGCUUAGUGGCAAUGCUUGCCCAAGGCCAUAGGUUCCUUAUCUCUUGGCUGGUUCCUGCAGCAAGCCAUACACAAUGGAUCACUAGCACUGCAAAAUAGCAAUUCAUAUGGCUUGCUACCAGGUAGCUUUGCUACCUCUAACCUUGACCCCAGACAAUGGGAGGACAGAAAGGGGGAGGGAGGGAGACAGUAUAGAACAGAAGAAAGGCUUGGUGUGUCUCCAGCUGCCACCUAGACUCCUUGCUAGGACUUUUGCUGGCACCUGCAAACCUGUCCCAGGACUAGCUCAUCUCUGCAAUGGCUUAAAUUUCUUUACUUCAGGGAGCCUGCUCUCACGAAUUUUGCUUUGGGGCUCAGGGUGGAACACCAUGGUAGAGCACUUGCUUAGAUGCAUACAGCCCUGGGUUCAAAUCCCCAGAUUACACAAAUUGGGGCGGAGAGGGGGUGACACAUCUAUUUUUUAUAGUUCCACACACACCAUCCUGCCAGAGACACAUCUGUGCAAAGACAAAUGCCAAGUCCAACAGUGAACUCACCCUUCCCCUCCCAGUAGACACACAGUGACACCAGGACCUCUCAUGAGUCAGAGCUUUCCCCAGCUGGCAGGCACAGUGCCCUUCACCUCUGCCUUCAUGGGGUUACCACACUUCCUUCCACCCCACUGCUCCCCACAACCCUUCCCAUCUGCACUCUUGUCUGAAUGCUGACUGAAAGGAUGGCAGUGCUCAUGGCCAUAGCACACAGAAAGUGGCCUCCAAGUGGCAGGCACAAUGACUGCUUUAUCUCUUGGCUGGCUCCUGCAGCGUGCUAUACACACUGGAUAAAGGACUGGCAUCACCUUCACCUUUACCUGCCCCAAGAGUUAACCUUCAGACUGGAUGUCAUCCAAAUGGAGACUUGGGAAGAAUGCAAAACUGGGUGGCCUUAGUGUAUUGAACCCUCUGAAACCAAACAGACAAUUAUGAAAGAAAAGUGGAAUCUCAGAGUCAAGGCCAACUGCCACCAGAGGAACAACACGAACUAGACUUUGGAUUGAAUUAUUGCCUCUGUUCUGACUCCCUGGAAAAUAUGCUAAGGGGAGAUGGUUUGGGGAAGGCAAAGUCCCUCCCAGACUGCCAGCUCUCUGAGUAAAGUACUUCUUAAAGAUUUGAUUCCUGUUUUUUAUUUUUUGUCAAUC